UUACAUUUUUCGUCAAAACCCUAGCAUUUGCCUUAACACAUUUUUAUCGCCUCACACUCUCUGUUUUCACUUAGUUUCUGAUUCUUCACUUUCAUUACUUCAAACUCUCGCAGCGAUGAGACCUCCAAGAGGCCGUGGUGGUGGUGGGUUUAGGGGCAGAGGUGAUGGUGGAAGAGGGAGAGGAAGAGGUGGUGAUAGGGGCGGUAGUGCCAUGAAAUCCCGCGGCAAAUUGGUGUUUGAUUGUUUCUGUUUUCUUAUAGUUCGAUGGAACAAAAAGAUUCUCCAACUUUAGUUGACAAAAACUUUCCUCUUUCCUCUUUCCUCUUUUCUCUUGUCACCGUGAAAUCAUUCUUUCGCUAGAUCCAUAGAAGUUGUUUAUUAACUAGAACUUGGUUUUCUGUAUUCUUGUUUACAAUUAUGGCUAUUGGUUCUUGCUGUAAUGUUAUAGAGGAAAAAGGUAGGUUGUAUUUUAUCUAUUUUCUUCAUUGUGUUAAACAAGAAAUAUUAUAAGGAGUGCAGGAUGAAAUAUUAUCUACUGAAGUAAUAAAAUAGAGUUCAUUAGUUUUCAUUCUUAUUGAGAAUCAAA